UACGAAGGGGGCUAGCGUUGCUCGGAAUUACUGGGCGUAAAGGGCGCGUAGGCGGUCUUGCAAGUCCUGUGUGAAAUCCCUCGGCUCAACUGAGGAACUGCACAGGAAACUGCUUGGCUUGAGUUCGGGAGAGGGAAGCGGAAUUCCGGGUGUAGCGGUGAAAUGCGUAGAUAUCCGGAGGAACACCGGUGGCGAAGGCGGCUUCCUGGACCGACACUGACGCUGAGGCGCGAAAGCUAGGGGAGCAAACGGG
rnacentral:rRNA from 1 species